UACGAGGGGUGCAAGCGUUGCUCGGAAUUAUUGGGCGUAAAGGGUGCGUAGGCGGUGGGGUAAGUCUGAUGUGAAAUCUCUGAGCUCAACUCAGAAAUUGCAUUAGAAACUACCUUGCUAGAGGAUUGGAGGGGGGACUGGAAUUCUCGGUGUAGCAGUGAAAUGCGUAGAUAUCGAGAGGAACACCAGUGGCGAAGGCGAGUCCCUGGACAAUACCUGACACUGAGGCACGAAAGCUAGGGGAGCAAACAGG
rnacentral:rRNA from 1 species